rnacentral:tRNA from 1 species
GCCGAAGUGGUGGAACUGGUAGACACGCAGUCUUGAGGGGGCUGUGCUUCACGGCGUGAGGGUUCGAGUCCCUCCUUCGGCACCA